AGCUCCAAUAGCGUAUAUUAAAGUUGUUGCGGUAAAAGCUCGUAGUUGGAUUUCUGUUGAGGACGACCGGUCCAUACCAUGUAUGCGCAUCUGGCUCGGCCUCGGCAUCCUCUCGUUUUGGGUUCCUGUGCUUGAUUGCAUGGGGCUUAUAGCGGGACUUUUACUUUGAGGAAAUUAGAGUGUUCACGGCAGGCUAUCGCCAGAAUACAUUAGCAUGGAAUAAUAUUAUAGGAUCGAGAUUCUAUUUUGUUGGUUUCUAGAAUUUUGAUAAUGAUUAAUAGGGACAAUUGGGGGCAUUCGUAUCAACACGUCAGAGGUGGAAUUCUUGGAUUGUGUUGCGACGAACUACUGCGAAAGCAUUUGCCAAGGAUGUUUUCA
rnacentral:rRNA from 1 species